AAAAGUCUAUCAUGUCCAAUGGUUCUCUUAUACUUCUCCUCCAAUUGGGCAUAUUUCACCCCGAAGCAAAAAGCUCUUCAGUUUUGGAGUUCAAGGCCUGCCUCCAAAUUAUAUAAUCUCUCAGCGGAGGCAGCCUCAUGAUCGGAUGCAGCAAGAACGACACUAUGGACUUCAGUCCAUUUAGCCCUAGCCUCUUCAAAUUGAACCCUCAGCAGGAUGAUCUCUUUGCUAAUGGUCUCUACUAAUUGUUUGCUUUUCUGUAAACGAACCUCCAACACAACAUCCUCAGUAUCUGUAGCUUCUAAUUUUAAUAGGCGAGCAUCAAUUUAGUCCCGCUCAGCCAAAAGUUGAUUAUGCUCGUAAGUAAGUUCAUCCUUAUCUUGAAUCAACCUUUGAAGGCCGUUGGAAGCAAGUAAAUUGGUUUGCGAAAAAAAAAAAGGAAGACUCAAG
rnacentral:lncRNA from 1 species